AACGCGAAGAACCUUACCUGGGCUUGACAUGCAGAGGAAACUUUCGUGAAAGCGAGAGCCUCCCGCAAGGGACAGUAGUAGAGGUGCUGCAUGGCUGUCGUCAGCUCGUGCCGUGAGGUGUUGGGUUAAGUCCCGCAACGAGCGCAACCCUUACUCGUAGUUGCUACCCGCAAGGGAGAACUCUACGAGGACUGCUCCGGAUAACGGAGAGGAAGGUGGGGAUGACGUCAAGUCAGCACGGCCUUUAUGUCCAGGGCUACACACGUGUUACAAUGCAUGGUACAGACUGUUGCGAACCCGCGAGGGGGAGCUAAUCGGACAAAACCAUGCUCAGUUCGGAUUGCAGUCUGCAACUCGGCUGCAUGAAGCUGGAAUCGCUAGUAAUGGCGUAUCAGAUCGACGCCGUGAAUACGUUCCCGGGCCUUGUACACACCGCUACAGU
rnacentral:rRNA from 1 species